rnacentral:rRNA from 1 species
UACGUAGGGGGCAAGCGUUGUCCGGAUUCAUUGGGCGUAAAGAGCGUGUAGGCGGCCAGGUAGGUCGGUUGUGAAAACUGGAGGCUCAACCUUCAGAGGUCGACCGAAACCAUCUGGCUGGAGUCCGGGAGAGGAGAGUGGAAUUCCUGGUGUAGCGGUGAAAUGCGCAGAUAUCAGGAAGAACACCCGUGGCGAAGGCGGCUCUCUGGGACGGUACUGACGCUGAGACGCGAAAGCGUGGGGAGCGAACAGG